rnacentral:lncRNA from 1 species
AAUCAAAUAAAUAAAUCAUGACCAAAACAGAUGCAACCAGAAAGCGAACAAGUUGGGACUCAAUGUCAUUUCUCCCUUCUCUCAUGGUGCAGUUGGGAUCCAGCCAGACGCAGAAGAAGGACCAGCCCUCGAGCAAGUCGAUGAGGAUCUUGCAGUGACUCAAAGUCAAAGGAAAUUUAUUUGCCCCAUUACACAGGAAGAAAUGAAGAAACCAGUUAGGAAUAAAAUCUGCGGCCACACCUAUGAGGAAGAAGCCAUCUUGGAACACAUCCGGCGCAGACAACAACAUAAGAAGAAAGUCAAAUGCCCUCAAGUUGGCUGCAACAACAGGGAAGUCAGGAAAGCAGACCUGGUGUUCGAUGAAGUCCUCAAAAGAACAAUUGACAUUUGGAGUAAAGGGAGCCAGGCAACACAGUAGAGAGAGGCCUCGGCCCCUGCAGUUGUUACAACAAAGGACACCAGGCAGUAGAAGAGUUCAACUGAGCAUAGGUUUCUAAUUUUCAGCUGGUUGUGUAAGAGAUUGCUGCUGCAAGUAUUUCAAUAGCAGGCAAAAGUUGAAGGUCUGACCUGUUGCUAAAAGCAUUUUCUUGGCAGCUGCCAAGUGUAAAAUGCCUUGCUUUGUUUACCUUCAUGUAUGUGUAUAGGUAUAGGUAUAGGUGUAUGUAUAUGUAUGUUAUUCAGCUUUG